rnacentral:lncRNA from 1 species
GUGUGCAGGCCCCGGCUGGGCCUGUCAGAGCGCCGGGCGCUGGCCCUGUGCUGCGGGAGUGCUGCGGGGGCGGGACAGGCCCCAGCUGCCACCAGCCCGAGCCCAGCUCUGCCCCACCGCCCUCCCCACAGCAGGGAAGGGUGGAGGGGAGGUGCCAGCUCUGCUGCUGGGCAAUGCAAUUCCCUGGUUCUCUCUGUACUCGUCGGGGCGCGGAUUGUUUCCGCCUGCAGCUUUAAUGACAAAACGGUGUCCAGAGACAGCAGCAGCAGACCCAGUCUAGCGUCAUCACCUUGCAGGGCUGUCACCAAAACAGACACACUUGGCUGGCUGCUGGAAGUAAAUCUGGGCAGAGAAGAGCAAGGAGCACCAUAUUCCCCCCUAAAUAAGAAACUCUCAGAAUUUCCCCUCACCCUGUUGGAGCAUUUAACUUUCCAGAGGAAAACAUGCAGAGCAGAAAUCCUCUGGCAAGAAGCAGUCGUAGCUCCUGAGCACCACGUCACACCUGUGCUGUCAGGAGCCAGACCAGUCCAUCUGAAGCUCUGA